CUGGAGAGUAUGUUGUACUGCCCAUCAAGGAGGAGCCUACCUUCAACUAUGUGCACAAGCUUCUCAAGAAAGUGGUAGAGCUGUGCGAUAGGUGGCCUACGUUUGAUGCAGCAUGGGCUGCAAACCCUCCUGAGGAGCUCCCCAGCCUGACAAGCAGCCAGCCCCCCAUGGAUAAGCAGGCACUGAUAGAGGCCAGGCAACACCGCUUACGGCCUUGUGCAUGCUGCCUGUGCUGCGAAACUCCAGGUUUGAACCCGGUAUAAAAUGUAGACGGAAACUUGUCCCGUAUGGCCCACACUACGCAGGAUGGCAGCACACGCCUAUCUCCCUCUUCGAGGCGCCCCCAAAGCCACGAUGUGCAUUGUUUGUAGGCAACAUGGCGGUAUCUCCUCAAGGAAAGUGCUUGACAAUCACACAAGAAGCAGCACAAUUUGAGAUAAGACAUGUAAGAACCAACUCAAGAAAAAGACUGCAUAGUGACCAACUCAAAGAAUAAAUACAGUCACCAAUGAGGAGCAAAGAGCAAACUUUACUCAAAGUCACUUUCCUCGAGCGUAAGAGCCCCAGAAUUCCAGCAAGGCAUCAGUACCAAAUUUGUGCCAAAUUAUUUUGGGAUUUCAUCAGGUGUCACUGCAACUAAGGAACAGCAUUUCAUUGCCUGGAGAAAGGCAUACAGCCAUCGAUGAGGCGCAAAGAGCAAACUUUACUCAAAGGUAACUCAAUGGCAUUUCCUCCCUCAGGCAAAUAUUGGAAACUGCUAAUUUUGUUUUUCACUUUCCUCGAGCGUAAGAGUCCCAGAAUUCCAGCAAGGCAUCAGUGCCAAAUUUGUGCCAAAUUAUUUUGGGGUGUCGCUGCAACUAAGGAAGAGCAUUGCAUUGCCUGGAGAAAGGCAUACUGCCACCGAUGAGGAGCAAAGAGCAAACUUUACUCAAAGGUAACUCAAUGGCAUUUCCCCCCAUCAGGCAAAUAUUGGAAACUGCUAAUUUUGUUUUCCACUUUUCUCUAUCAUAACAUCCCUGACAUUGCAGUCUUCCAGCAAGGCAUCACCUGCACUAUCACCUGGAGUUGAAUUUAUUCUAAUGUGCUUGAUGUAAAACAUACCUUAUGAUGGUACAUUUUGUUUGUUGAUAGUGUAACAAAGCCAAAGUAGG